UACGUAGGGAGCAAGCGUUGUCCGGAAUCAUUGGGCGUAAAGCGCGCGUAGGCGGCCCUGUAAGUCCGUUGUGAAAGUCAAAGGCUUAACCUUUGAAAGCCGAUGGAUACUGCAGGGCUAGAGUCCGGAAGAGGCGAGUGGAAUUCCUGGUGUAGCGGUGGAAUGCGCAGAUAUCAGGAGGAACACCAAUAGCGAAGGCAGCUCGCUGGGACGGUACUGAUGCUAAGGCGCGAAAGCGUGGGGAGCGAACAGG
rnacentral:rRNA from 1 species